rnacentral:rRNA from 1 species
UACAGAGGUCCCGAGCGUUGUCCGGAAUUAUUGGGCGUAAAGAGCUCGUAGGCGGCUUGUCGCGUCGGAUGUGAAAGCCCGGGGCUUAACUCCGGGUCUGCAUUCGAUACGGGCAGGCUAGAGUUCGGUAGGGGAGAUCGGAAUUCCUGGUGUAGCGGUGAAAUGCGCAGAUAUCAGGAGGAACACCGGUGGCGAAGGCGGAUCUCUGGGCCGAUACUGACGCUGAGGAGCGAAAGCGUGGGGAGCGAACAGG